UGUGCACCCAAACCCAAAGCUCACACCUGUCCGUGGUGUGAUUUUGUCUGGAGUGCAAACAGAAAACUGAUCCUUGUCGCCUUUCUCUGACGCUGCAGUGUCUUUGAAAGUGAAUUCAAGGGUCCACAGGU